UCUGACUGUCACCAAACUGGCUUCUGCUCUCUUUCUGCAUCUGUAUCUGUUGCUAGAAAUAGGCUCAAAGCCACGGAGAAGCAACAGUCAAAUCUGAAGUUGGGCAGCUCUGUCAGUCUUGGUAAUUACUACCAGCAGAGACAGGGUGGAGACCCCUCCCUCCACCCAUUUGGUUCAUAGCGGUGGGGCAUCGAAGUUGUCAGGAGAAGGGGGUUCCACAAAAUUUAGUACUGAAAUAAAGAUGGACUUGGCGAGGCUGCCCCAGGCACACACUCCCUGUCACCCAGGUCACAUGUCACUAUCUAUCCCAGUGCACUCCAUGACUGCCCAACACCCUUCCUCAGGAUGUGUGAUAGAGAGAAGCUGCUUGCAGCUUGGCUUCCUUUCUCAUUGUUACCGUAUGUAGAUAAUGAUUGCACAAUGAACUAAACUAGUUCACAGCCCGCAGGGCCAGGGGCCAGGGGCUCAGACUGGACAGGCUCACCCUCUGGAAGAAGCAGGAAACAGAAAUGGGGUUCGGCCUCCUGCCAACAUCAGUGAAACCUGUCCGGGAUUCUGUGCUUCCUGUGUGUUGGAAGACAACUCAGCGACCGGUGGUCCAUCCAGACGACGGAACGUCACUCCGCCAUGAAGCGCUGCCACACGUUACCAUGUAGAGGAACCUGGAAACCAUGCAGCUUGAGAGAAGAAGCCAGACACAGGGACCAUGUCUCAUGAGCUGACAGGAGGUGUCCUGCUAGGCAGACCCACAAAGGUGGAGACAGAUGUGCUUGGCAAUCAGAGCUGUCAUGGGGAGCCCGGAAGUGGGGGCUCUGGGGUUCACCGAGUGUGCUGACGAUCCUGUGUUAUUCCGGGAACACCCCUGACCACAGUUGGACUGGUGGGUGUGUGGCAGUAGUGUCUGAGGUGUCAGGAAGGGACAUUUGGAGUUUAUAAGCGGAGACUCACUGUAGGGCAGAUGGAUGAACGUGUUUGGAGGAUCCUGGCAAGCUUGCUUCUGUAACUCCGGGUACCGUGCCUCUUCCUACAUGCCAGCCAGCCUAUGAACCCUGCCAGUCACCUUGUACAAAGCAGCGCCCUGGGCUCCAGCACCUGGAGUGGACCUGGCCAACUCAGGGCACAUCCUGUUCUCUUUCUUGCCUUGCCUGUUAAGCCUCACUAUGUCCAACACAUUAAUUCCCAAAGAAUGGAACAGCCAGAGGGACCCUAGAGAGCUGGGACUUGCUCCAGAGGAUUAACGGCUUCCCCCAUCCUGACAGAACAAGUCUGCAAAGCAGCCGUCCCAUCCUGGAUGGUGGCAUUAACUUUUGUUAUUCUUGUCAUGUCUCCGUGGUGCUCUCCUGGCGUCACAGACAUCUUGGGCAAGAGACAAGAAGAGCCCAAUGCAGAGCUGGAAGCCUUUUCUCUAAUUCCUCCCUCAAGCAAAGAACAGCGGCAGUUCCUGACGUCAAGCUCUGAUCUAAAGAUCAGCUGAUUUGUUUCUCGGUCAAGAGACAAACCACUGCUAGUUCGGCUUUUGCUUUGAACUAACAACUCCGUGACAACAAAACCUUGUCAAUGAACAAAACAAAGCCGUGGGAGCCAAAGAUGUAGACAAGGGGCCAAAGGGCAGUCAUCUGUCCUGGCUGGUGUGGGAGGGAAUGAUGAGAUUCGAGAUUCCUCAGAGCUCAGUUUCCAUGGAAUCUGAGCCUUGAAGUGCUGUGCAAAAGCUUUAGAGUAUGUCUUCCUUCCUUCCUUCCUUC
rnacentral:sRNA from 1 species